rnacentral:tRNA from 165 species
GCCGCUUUAGCUCAGUUGGUAGAGCAUCGCAUUCGUAAUGCGGGGGUCACAGGUUCGAGUCCUGUAAGCGGCACCA